AUAGGUACUCUCACAUAGGCUACUAUGUAGAACUCUAGUUUCUUUCAUCUACAGGUAGCAAGUCAAAUAAGUACGUACAUCAGUAGAUUUACGUAUACACAAAUUACAGUUGGAAAAAUGACCCGACAUCUUUUGAUUUUAUUCGCAGUGUUAUUUUCAUACUCAGUUUAUUCCACUGCUUUGGAAUUUCCAUAUAAAAAUAACUCGCUAUUGACACUUGAUUGGUACUAUCACGAGAAAAACUUUACCAUACCAUGCUCUGAUACAGACGAAGUUGAAUGGAUCGUUGACGCCACUAGAGAUGUAAAUGCCCUGAUCUGAUCAACCUUAUAAUCAGGUGCUGUCGCCGAAUAAAAAGAACGUCGUAAUUAAAGAUGCCUCAAUCCAUGACAUAGGGGUUUAUAAGUGUGUGUCUAAAAAGGAUCCUAAAGUGUUCAUGAAAGUUGUACUUCGCAUUUGGGAGGGAUGAUCAUCAAGCAUUCAAUCAAUGUUCAUAUGUAUUGAUUUAAUCCAGUUGGAAAUGGUCUAUGAAAUAGAAUCGCAAAUAAUAAUCAACAAUGUGAAUAUUAAAAAAAUUAAAGUAUUCGAUUACCUACACACUACAGUGUAAAUUAAGUUAGGUAAUGUAUUUUGACGAUAUCAAUUACCUAUUGAUUGAGAUGGCAUCGGAUAUAAUCGUACGUGGGUCUAGUGUUGUUUUUCUUUUUAUUAAAAUCUGCUUCAUUAUGAAGUAGGUACCUAACUUAUUUCAUUAUUUUAUAGUCCUCUUCUUUUUUUAUCAAUGUGAAAAAAUAGUUUAAAAAUAAAAAAAAAUUAUACGCUUG